GGUUAAAAAGCUCGUAGUUGGAUCUCGGCGGGCAGGGGGUGGUUCGCUCUUCAGCGCUACUGCCCCGCUUUGCCCGUGUGAUUGGCGGAGGUUUCGGGGUGCUCUUCGUUGAGUGACUCGGAGCGCCGUCAGGUUUACUUUGAAAAAAUUAGAGUGCUCAAGGCAGGCUUUUCACGCUUGAAUAUUCGUGCAUGGGAAUAAUGGGAAUAGGAACUCGUUUCUAUUUUGUUGGUUUUCGGAAAUCGAGUUAAUGAUUAACAGGGACAAUUGGGGGCAUUAGUAUUCAGACGACAGAGGUGAA
rnacentral:rRNA from 1 species